AUCUGCAUCAGGUUUGAAAAGUCACCCCACCCUCCUGUGAACAUAAGAUGCUAAGAAGCACAGGGCUUUUCCAAUCGAAGCUGGAAGGGGCUGAGGUGGCACCUGGGGACUCAGAGGCACCAGCUCCUGUCUGAGACAGACGGGUCAGGAGCAGGACUGGGACCAGACCACCAGCAACAUAUGUGAGCACGUCCUCCAAAUGAGACCAGGACGCCUAAGAAAAUUAACUACCUUUUCAUCUACUUCAGUUCCUCACUGUUCACCUGCAUAAAAAUUAUUCAUCCUCCUUGAAACUUAAAGUGGACCCCGGGCCAUAGGCAGUGAGGAAGUGUUAUGUCGAGAUGCACAGGGGAGCGGAGAAAGGCAACAAAAGAAAUGAUAAGGCAGACUUUUAUCUGUGUUAAUAUGUUUGCUGGCAAGAUAUGGUGACUUUGCCUUCCUCGUCCAAAUACUCAUCUACAAUACAAAGUGGAGAUGGUGAUUAUUGCCAACUGCAUUGGAAUGUUGUGAGAAUUCAAUGAAAUAAUGUAUGUGCAAUGCCCAGACUCUUCUACCAGGAGCUGUGGUCUUAACUUCAGACUGACAGUCAAAUUCAAGAUUCAUGAAAAGCUGCUUCAAGCACCGAGUCUGGUUAUCUUUAAGAAAUUUGGCAGGACAAGCCUUGUGGUACACACGACAACAGCACAGCAGCGGUCUCACGAUUCCCAGGCAGGCUUGGAUCCCAAUAAUCCUGCACAGGGUACGUGUAGUCACAAGGAGCAAAGGAACAAAGUUGAUUAGAAACAUUAGCUCAGGGAAGCCAUCAGCUCCGGGUCCCUGUGAGCCACAUUCAAGUAACCGGUUAAUCCCAUCUCGUCAGGGUUGUGUGAAUAGCUCCCAUCCUCCAGGGCAGCACCAUUCAUUAGUUCCCCAUGGCGAUGAGUUAUAAAU